rnacentral:rRNA from 1 species
GAUGAACGCUGGCGGCGUGCUUAACACAUGCAAGUCGAACGGGAAUUAUUUUAUUGACACUUCGGUCGAUUUCAUUUAAUUCUAGUGGCGGACGGGUGAGUAACGCGUGGGUAACCUGCCUUAUACAGGGGGAUAACAGUCAGAAAUGGCUGCUAAUACCGCAUAAGCGCACAGAGCUGCAUGGCUCAGUGUGAAAAACUCCGGUGGUAUAAGAUGGACCCGCGUUGGAUUAGCUGGUUGGUGGGGUAACGGCCCACCAAGGCGACGAUCCAUAGCCGGCCUGAGAGGGUGAACGGCCACAUUGGGACUGAGACACGGCCCAGACUCCUACGGGAGGCAGCAGUGGGGAAUAUUGCACAAUGGGGGAAACCCUGAUGCAGCGACGCCGCGUGAAGGAAGAAGUAUCUCGGUAUGUAAACUUCUAUCAGCAGGGAAGAUAGUGACGGUACCUGACGAAGAAGCCCCGGCUAACUACGUG